UACAGAGGUCUCAAGCGUUGUUCGGAUUCAUUGGGCGUAAAGGGUGCGUAGGCGGCGCGGUAAGUCGGGUGUGAAAUCUUGGAGCUUAACUCCGAAACUGCAUUCGAUACUGCCGUGCUUGAGGACUGGAGAGGAGACUGGAAUUUACGGUGUAGCGGUGAAAUGCGUAGAUAUCAAGAGGAACACCUGAGGUGAAGACGGGUUGCUGGGCCAACACUGACGCUGAGGCGCGAAAGCCAGGGGAGCAAACGGG
rnacentral:rRNA from 1 species